CCUUCCCAGUCGGCUGGCCCCAAAGGAGGGGAGCCAGCCGCUUUCUGCCUGGCUCUGGGGCCAGCUGCGCUCUCAGGUGCCCCCUACUGCAUGUUUUCGGCCCUCUGGUCCUGACGCCUGCAAAGGCGCAGGCCAACCUUCCAGGGAGGCUGUAGGAAGGCCUGGGGGCUGCAGGCAGCUCUACCCGGCUGCUUUCUUAAAGCCUGGAGGGAAAAGGAUGGACGCUAAGGAUGCAGCUUUGACCCUCAGAGCUCACCGAAGGGAUGUGGGCAAAUCACUGCUCCCCACUGAGCUUUGGUUUCCUCCCUGGGAAAACCCUGGCCCAUGAAACUGCUACUAUCACUACCUCGCAGAAGCUAGAGGGUGGAUGCCACGGAGGGCUCUCAGCAGGUGCUGAGGGGGGAUUUGGAGGCCCCAGUGGCAGGCACAGGUCCAUGCCCAUUGAAGGAUGACAGAAAAGAUGCCAGAGCGAGGAAACACUUCAAUUGUGGGCUUAUUCUUUUUGAAAGGCAAGGAUAUCAUCUGGUUACUUAACCUGACAAUCUUGUGUGUUCCUCACCCAUAAUAUGAUGAGGGAAGUGCUGUGCCAAUUUACGUUCUGCCCAGAAGUGGGAGGAUCUAAUCUUCAUACAGGAAGCUCCAGCCAACAUUGAGGCACGUGGACACAUUGGGUUAGAAGAUUCCUUCCCGUCCACUCUCUCCUUCCACGUGUGGAAGCUCAGGCAAAAAGCAGCAAGUCACUUGCUCAAGAUCUUGAAGUCCAAAAAAUUGGAGAUGGAAGAGAUGUGAAAGGGGUCCUUCCAGGCUCUGGCUGGCUGAGGCUUUACCAUCUUCAGCGUGAAGCUCCCAAGUCUGACCUGGCAUCGACUUCCAGCCUACAGAUGGGGGAAGCAGGAAGGCACACUUCUCACCUCUAUCUCCACACUCCAUUGGCUAAAAUUUAGUCAUAUGGUUGUACCUAAUGGCAAAGGAAGCUGGGAAAACGAUCUGUUAAGCAGGAACUGGAAAUGGAUUUUCAGAAUAGCAGUCAGUUUCUGCUACACAGUGCACCUGCAAACACCAGGGAUUCCAUGUUUGGGAAAUCUAAGACCCAUUCUUUCUUGUUUUCAUUCUUGUAACUCACCCCCGGUAUUUAGUCCUUUGGUCCCCAGGUUCAUAACUACAGGCAAAUUUUCACAGUACAGGGACAAAAUAGAAUAAAAGGGAGAGUGGUAGAUAUUAAGGACUCUCAAAGGGAAAAGUCAAACGAAAUUUAAGCCAAGAGGGAAAAAUCAACAUUCAGCCUCUCUGCUUAUACAACACUCUGAAGGUGAAGCCUCUAAGAAACCAAGGCAACAUUCACAGAGCUGCAUCAGCAGAUUUGGGAUGUUUUGACACAGUUAAAUUUAAGCUAAAACUUGAGUCUUCCUCAAAAUAAGAGCAUUUAAUUGAUUGUUUAUGUUUCCUGGCUAUUGUAAACUCAAGCCUAAACCACCAAGUCAUACUAUCUGUAAUGAUCAUACCUUGUUCUGGAGCGUUCAGUUCUUAGAACCUCCAGAGCUUAGAGAAAUGGCUUCCUUUAUUGGCAUGUCCAGGACAAAUAUCCACUAUUCAUGUAGGUCUACCUCUGGAUUCUUGUCCGUUCUCCCGGACUCCAUGUGGCUCAGACCACAAGAAGCUCAGGCUGAGAUUUCCUGUCUCAUCUUCCACAACUUUUCCACCUUCCUGCGAAAGUUCUGCUUUGGAGCUCAUAUCAUCUUAGUGUCAAUCUUUCUUUGUCACGACCCGCAAUAAUAAACACAUUUUAUAUUUUGAUCCAGUACACGCACACACAUACACACUUAAAACAAAAGUUUCUUGAAACAUUCUUAUUUUAUUAAGAAUUAUGCAUUCAGAUAAUUUCUGUUUAAUUCUAUUUCAAUCCAUUAAAAAAAUGCUCCUUGAGAUUACUAAAUUGUUUAGAUAAACCAUAGAUUGGUUAUGUUUGUGGUCUACUAGUCUACAGUCAUCAGCCUACAUUAGCAGAAUUAUUUUUUCUCUCCUUGAAGCCAGGGAACCUCAUCUCUGCUCCACUUUUCCCGUAUUUUCCUAAAAUUACACCCUCAGCUUUUCCCCUUGUCACCUUUUGAAUCUGUAACUCCUGUAUCUCCCUAGACCUCAGACUCCUAUUCUUAUAGUCCUCUAGCUUGUUACACCCACUUUACCUACACUUCAAGAUUAAUAAAGAGUUUUAGACCCUUACUCUUCCAUUGACUCUUCUUUAUUAGAAGCUUUCUGGUCUUGCGUUUCCCAGGCUACCCAUACUCCAUCACUACAACCUUCUAAUUUGCCUAUUGGUCCACCACUUGGCAUGAGAUAUUUUGGUUCUGUCUUCUUGAUAAUCAGGCCCACAGCUUGGCCAUCAGCCUGAUGGGCAUGGCCAAGAAAGUGUACACAUUAAUGUGUCUGAGCCAGGCCUGUCAACUGGGAUUGAUGUCUCCACUGAGUCAUGACUGCUUAGUUAUUCUUUAGCCCACUGUAAUCCUCCCACUUCUAAUCCCUCUGCACUGUUAUAGACUGAAAAAUACAAAGCAUACUUGCUGGGCCUUAUUUUACUCUGUCUGCAGCAUCUGAGACUAUCAACCUUCAAAAUCUCUCCUCAUUACUUUGAACGCUCCCACUUCCCUAGUUUUUUGCAUCUUCUCUGGCCACUCCUUUUUAAGCUUCUUCAUAAAUUCUUUCUCUUCUCUCUACCUCUUAACUGUUGAUGUCUUCACAUUCUACAACAUUCUAGGGCAAAGUCAUCCAUGCACAUGGUUUCCCCUGCAUGAUGAUGACUCUCACCAAUAUAUCCUAAAUCCAUGGUCCUUGCAGCUUCAUAUCCAAUCCUUAUUGCAUCCCUUCACCAGGAUGUCUCACAGAGCCUUUCAUUUUUUUUAAAAGAUUUUAUUUAUUUAUUCAUGAGAGACACAGAGAAAGAAAGGCAGAGACACAAGCAGAAGGAGAAGCAGGCUCCUCGCAGGGAGCUCGAUGUGGGAUUCUGGGAUCAAGCCUUGAGCCGAAGGGAGAUGUCCAACUGCUGAGCCACCCAGGCAUCCCUCACAGAGCCUUUCAAACACAACAUGUCCCAAAAUGAAGUUGGAUCUUUCCCCCUACUUAGUGUUCUUCAAAGGGUUGCCGUUGCAUUUAGAAAAAAAAAAUCCAUAAUUAUUAUGGUCUUCCAGAUCUAAAUGGUCUAAUAACCUCUAGCUCCCUUGUCCACCCCAUUAUUUAGACUUUUCUCAUGACUCAUUCUGCUCAAUACAAACUUGAAGUUCCUCCAAUACUUAUCACAGGGCUCUGCCUGAAAUGCUAUUGACCCAGCUGGAAAAGCCACAAAACUCUCUUCCCCACCUCACUAAGUUUUCUACUGAAAUACCAGCUGCUCACAGAAGCCUCUCCCACCAGCCUGUCAAAAUAAUAUCCUUAUCCCCUUCCCCUGCUUUAUUUUGCUUCAAAGUAGUUACCAUGACAUUACAUGAAUGUGUUUAUUUCUGUUUAUCCUGUUCACUAGAAUAUAAGUUUAUUUAGCUGAAUUCCCAGCACCUAGAACAAUACUUGAGACAAAGUAAGAACUCAAUAAA